UCCCAAUUCUACUAUAUAAUUGCGAAAUCUGAAGGCAAUCUUCACACCAUUCUUAUCCCAACCCUUUACUCAUGAUUUUUUGUUCACAUGGUGAUGCUUAUCAUGAUUGUUUUUUUUUUCUUCUUUUCAGAGUGAGGCUUAACAACCAUGGGCGAGGCCACGAGGAUUCAUAUAUAUGAUAAUGAAUCUGAAUGUUUGCAUGCGUUUUUACUUGCUUCUGGUUGUAUAUCGUAGCAUUUCUCUUAUUUUUCUUAUUUAUGUUACUCCUUUUCAUCCUUAUAUCUGAUUAGUUGCAAUUUACUGAGAAAUUCCUUGAUUCGUUUGGCUAUAGAAGUUGAGACGUUAGUAAGAUACUAUUGUGUUCUACUCCUGUAAUUCUCUUUAGUUUUGAUGAUCAUUCUCAAUUAUGCAUUUAGCAUAAUGAUGGCAGGGUGAUAAAGAAAAAAGCAAGAUUAAUAAUGCCAGAGUUGAAAGGAAGCAAUUUUUUUAACACUUUUCUGCUAGACUUUUUCCAAACAUUGUCACGAAAAGAAGGGUUUCAAUAGGUUGAAGGUUGACGGGAUGAAAGAUGAUCGCCGGUGCCCAGUGGUUUUACAAACUGAAUCCAUCAUCUUUAAGAUUGUCUGCUAAUCUCCCUGCACAUAACAAUGCCCAUGAAGUCAAUCCUGCAAAUGCUGAUAAGGACAACCCAAAUGAUCAAAAUAAGAGUGAUGAAGAAUAGUGGAAAUGAUCUCACAAAUAAUUUAGAAGUAGUCUUCAAAUUAAGAAUAAACCUAUGUUUAAUAAGAGCCUUUUUUAUUUCUUUUUUCAUUGAGUGAUGAGUUUUUUUAUAUGAUAAAUUUUUUUUAUUUGAAUGAAUAAUAAUGAAAGUCAUUUUUAUCUCAUGACACGUUACCUAUUUGCCUGAAGUUGUGUUCUUAUUUGUAUUGUACUUGAAAGUGACUCACUUGAUAAUUGUACGUAAUUUUAGUUAAGGG